GUGGAGGCCAUUUAAUUACGCCUAUUUGAUUUGAGAGCUCGAGUAGACAAGAUCAUGUAGGCUCUGAAAUCUAUCUUCUGGAGGACCAAGGCCAUUAAAGUACAGGGUUCUUUCAGCAGCAAUGGCCUCACUAUUUCUUCUAAAUUACCAAGAUUCUCGGACAUGUACACUCUCACGAUAGCAAGUGUAGACCCACAGUUUAUCGUAGCAAACAAGCCAAUCCAUUUCACUAAGAGCGUGACAAAGUGUCACAGAGCCCUUCUUCUUCGCUCUGCCACCCACACCGUGGCACCUCGCCGAGCUCCGCAUCGAAACUGCGUUGUUGCCUUCUCCGUGCUCUGCGUUGAAGACAUGCAGCGCAAGCGUCGCUGCCUCAUCCCGGCCUCCUCUAGACGCAAGACGACAAGAGGAUGCUGCUCGAGCUGUCCCCUUGGAUCCCACGCCGAACGCCCUGUCACCUCCGUCGACAACAUCAAGCUCCUGUCCCUCCCCCACCUCACUGCAAUAGAUUCUUCGGUUGUGGAACUUAGGGAGAGUUUUGAGUCGUGGUGGUGUAUAAAGCAGUCGUCAAGCACAAGCUCCUCCAAAGUACCAUCAGGAUCCUACAGUAGAAGAGUUAGCCAAAACACUCGAUUGUUGGCCAUCAAUGAAUUAUUAUAUCACGGGUUGUAAAUAUGUUCUUAUGCCAUGAAAAUUCAACGAAUGUCACGCCCUUUUCGUAAUAGAUCAUGUUAAAAGCAUGUGACUUUUAUCGACUUUACACCGACUCAAGAUUGGUGUAAACACAUGCCAUACAAGAGGUUUGCGGAAGCUAUUAUCAUGGCCUCAAAGAAAUAUAAGAUUGCUUACAACAAGAAACGUUCUGGAUGGGCGGAGGAUAUCUUUAAGUGGGAACAUACAAUUCAGACUGGUGUUCCAAUUGACUUAAGAGGGUUUAAUACCAGCUACCUCGUUCUACAAGUUAUGACCAUGUGGGGGAAUGACAGACGAAUGAAAUUUGUUGGGAAUGCAAAUAUUCUUCGAAGGAACUUUGUGAUUGAUCUGUUAAGUUAUGAGGACAAUUCGUGCCGAUAUGCCAUCCCUGCAAACAUACAACAGAGACUUAUCGAUAUCGCUAAAAAGGAUUAGCUGAUUAGUGUACGGUUGUCGACACAUUUGUCUGUAAUUAAAAAUUCUAAAUUAUCUUUUUAGAAAUAAUUUGUGUGAUAUUGAUAAUGAAAAACACGGAUUUUGCAUAUUAUAUAGUGAUGUUUGUCGUUC